GGAAUCUACAGAACCUUCACUGAUGUUUUUUCUGCUUCUUUCCAAAAAUUGAAAGGCAACAUUUGGGGGGGAGAGAGUAAUCAUAUUUGUUUCCAUACUUAAAGAGCACAUGAAAUUAUAGACUAUUUUACUCACCUGAAGGUACCCGUUUCAGCAUACAUUUCUGUUCUGUUCGUUUUGUUUUUCCAGUCAAGUAUUUUGAUAAAUUUAUUUAAUUUCUGGUGGUGUAUGGAAGAAAAGCCUGAAGCCUGGUUACUCUGAGAUGGAAAUGCUGUUUGGUUUUCAGGAGUUUCAGCGACUCGUAAAAAGAAACAUGUCCCUCAUAUUGCAGAAGUAGAAAGUACCAAAAAGGUCAUGUUCCAUAAAGGUUUGAGUUAGAGAAACCUUGCUAAAUCUUGAAGGAACGUGAAUCACUUUACAGAUCUUAGCAGUGCAAAAUGUGACUGAGUUGAGCCCCAGACGUGAGAAAGACUUGUACCUGCUACACUGCAGUCUCAAGGGAUUUCUCCCUGCUCUCACUUUUCAUCAGCCGCUGCCAUUGCUGCUUUGGACAGGGUUUGCAUUUAUUACAUUUGCUUCUGUUAGGAACAAGAAGUGGGACUUUUCUUCCUCAAGUCCAGCUUUUAUCUAGUUACUACUGCUGGUUUGUUGCUUUAUACUUCUAAAACCUCAAUUGUACUUGCUUUGGGACAUUAAACGAAAUAUACGUUUAUAAAAUUAGAAAAGCAUAACUUUCUUAAAGUCCACUUGGCAGAGUUGAUCCUAGUUGUUUAAAUUUCUAGUUGAAUCUCUACUGAGGUCACUUUUUCUAUUAUAAAAAAAUGGAGCAGCUGGUUAGUGAGGAAAAAAAAGCGUCUGAGACUGGUAAGGAAUGUGUUGUCUGAAAGCAGCAGCAGGCAAUUAGCAACAGUUAGUGGUCAGUUUUACAUUUGAAGGCAUUCCUUUAGACAGAGCCAGAAGCUGUUUGCUUUUGAAUGGGAAGGUCCAGGAAUAUUUUCUGGCUGAAGACUUGGCCUGGGAGCAAACUUUUUCAGCUUGAUGCAGGAGGUUAGGGAGUGGUUCAGUUGCAUCCUGCAAAGGUAAGAUACGAGCUGGAGUCUCCCUGCUUCCUCUUCUCUCUGCUGAUUUAAAAUUGCAAGGCCCGGAAGACAGGAACAAAAGAGUUUCUGCUGGGCUCCCCGAAGCCGGGAGCUGUAACUCCAACGGCAGACGUUGUUGUACUGAGGGAGGUGGUUUAGCGGGGAAGUAUUGGUGGAGUGUGAAGGUUGGGCUGCUUGAUCUUGGAGGUUUCCAACCUUGGUGAUUCUAUGAUUGUUGACCGCUGUAAAGAAUGCAAAUUCUAGAACCGAUUCCUUUUACACUGGUUCUUCCUUUUCUAAGGAUUUUAGGUGAUGUUUCUUCACUCUUCUUUCUGUGUCCUUCAGGCAAUGUUUAUUUAUUAGCCAUUAUUUUGAGUACAAGUUAAUCGGGUAUUUUUUUUUUCACUGUAACAAAUAAGCCAUUUUAUGGUUUUUAAUUCCAUGCUAUUUAUUGCCCUGGCUGUCACAGCCUGAUCUUUGCAUUGCUAAAACAGUCAGAUGAAAUAAUCAGGAGAGGAAGGCAGAUAUCCCCAAAGCCAAAGUACAAGAAGAAAUCUGGCCUCUUAUGGAAGUAUGUGACAGAUAUUCUAAUCUGGUAUAAAAAUUAGAGAAGUGGAAUGUGAAUGGAAUGAAGGACAUUUCUUAAAUGUAGCUUGAGUGCUACCUUUUGUAAACCAUUUCAAUGGUUUGAAGUCGAAGGCAAAGACGAAGUUGUGAUUUCCACUCACCCAGGUUAUGUGCUGUCUCCACAGACUGGGCGUGGAAAUCCCACCCACGAUAUCUGUGCUCCAGAAUCUCCCCUUGCAGCAUAAGUUCAGCUCAUUUCAAACUACCAAUUAUUUCUGAAGAGGUUGUGCAGGAGAUAUUAAAUAGGAAAAAGGCGAGGCUAGGAGGACACUCUUGAGAUGGAAUGGAAAGACUGCGUAAAG
rnacentral:lncRNA from 1 species